CGGGGAGUUAUCGGCAGCAGCGAAGCUGGGAGCAGACAACGUGAGGAUGCCGGCGGCUCUGUGUGUGUCCUGGCGACAGGGCUGUGAAAAUGAUUUAUUAGACAGGUCCCUGUUUAGCACACAGAAGGGGCGCCUGGGUGCAGGGAGUUGCGCACAUAUGUGAGCACAGAGGACUUCACGGGGGUGUUAUUACACUAGAGGGCAGAGAGAUUCCAAAGCACGCAGGGGCUAAGUUUUCCCCCAGUACAGCACGUCCAGGCGGGAUGCCCCUCUGGGCGACGGUCGAGGUAAAUGCUUCGCACACUUGCUCUCUUGAAUCUGUGCCAAGACUACCAGGUGGCUUCUCUUACCACCAUCCCAUUUUGCAAAGGAGAAAACUGAGACUCAGAAAGAUUGAGAGGUACCUGGGAUCACGUGGCUGGUAAGCCGUGGAGCCAGGAUUCACACCCAGGCAGUUGCCUCCAUGGCCCAUAUUUAAGCACUCGGCUCUCCAGACACAGAAGGAAAGUACCUUUUCUUGAGCUCCUACUAUGCUUCAGGCACCACGCUAGGUCCUUUAUCAACUCAUUUGGUUUUCGUAACUGUCUUUGUGAAGGAGGCAAAACCCUGACUUAGAAAUGCAGCAACUUAGAUUGAGAGAAGUUAGGUAACCUGUGUACAUUCUCCCAGCUAGUAAGUGCAGAGCUGAGGUUUAGCCCAAGAGAGACGCCGCACCCUUUCUCCUAAACCGGGUGCCUCCUACGUGACGGUAUUGUGUUUUCAAUUUUAAAAAGUUACACUACAGCUGACCCUCGGUAUCCAAGGGUUCUGCAUCCGCAGAUUCAACCAAUGGCGGAUUGAAAAUAUUGGGAAAAAGAAUUCCGGAAAGUUCCAAAAAGCAAAACUUGAAUUUGCCAUAUGUCCUGGCAACUAUUUACAUAGCAUUUACAUUGUAUUUCCAACCAUGUACACAACAUUUAUAUUGUCUUAGGUAUUAUAAGUAACCUGGGGAUGAUUUAAAGUAUAUGGGAGGAUGUGUGUAGGUUAUAUGCAAAUACUAUGUCAUUUUAUAUAAUGGACUUGGGCAUUCCCGGAUUUUGGUAUACCCUGGGGGUCCUGGAACCAAUCCCCCAUGAAUACUGAGGGACAACUGUAUUUUUUAUUUUUAUUUUUUUUGCGGUACGCGAGCCUCUUACUGUUGUGGCCUCUCCCAUUGCGGAGCACAGGCUCCGGACGCGCAGGCUCAGUGGCCAUGGCUCAUGGGCCCAGCCGCUCCGCGGCAUGUGGGAUCUUCCCAGACUGGGGCACGAACCCGUGUCCCCUGCAUCAGCAGGCGGACUCUCAACCACUGCGCCACCAGGGGAGCCCACAACUGUAUUUUUGACACCGCCUGCCCCAAUCUGUUUUGUUUGUUGGUUGUUUAAUUGAUUCCUUUAGCACGUAAUUCUUGAAGUCCUUUUGUGUCCAAGGCAAUAUGAGGGAGGGGACACAAAGCUGGCUGUGACCUGGCUCCUGGUGGGUUUGAUGACCUUGAUGCAAGGAGCAAGGUGAGGAGUGCCGCUCAACCAGAGAACAUUCUGGGGGUGCUGGGAUGGCAGAGGGCACUUGUUCUUAGUAUUUUGAAUGGGAUUGUUUUACUGAUUUCCUUUUCAGAUAGUCAUUAUCAGUGUACUGAAAUGCAACUGAUUUCAGGAAGCGCUGUGUCUGCGGCUGUUUCCUUCCGCACCCCAGGGGCGGUGGCUCAGGAGUCAGCCUUCCCCAACAUGAAGUCCAGGCUUGGAUGCUUUGAGCCAAUUCUGCUCAAGCUGUUGGUCACCUCCAUCAAACACUCAGGGGACUGCCUUUUGCCCCUGGAUGGAUCAUCUCUGCUCUGAUGAUUCUGGCAUCAGCCUGAGAGCCAGCAGGGGAGCUGGCUUUCAACAGAGGCCUCUGGAACCUCAUGCUUUUUAGAUGUUCAGUUGAAAUCAGGAGCUUUAUGACUCUUCCUUUAUUCAGAAGCCCAUCAAAGCCAAUGUGGGAGCUGCUGUGGAUUCAGCAUCACACCAGCAUGGCCCUUCAGCCCCACCACGUUCCACUCUGUCCUCACUCUAUUUCCAAGGGAAUUCUCUUUCUUCUGCAGACCCUGCCUGGGUGGGGCAGAAAAAGCACUGGGAGGCAGAAGAUCCAGGACCACUUUCCUGACUGUCACUCAGCCACAUGCCUCGCAUGAGUUACACUAGGACUCUCUUAGGCCUCAGUUGUCUGAGCUGUAAAAUGGAGAUCAUAAUGCCCCCUUACGGAUUCACCAUGUGGGUUACAUGAGAAACCCGGCACCUGCCACAGUCUGCCACACGGUGGUAUUUCAUGAACGUGUGGAAGGGUGAAUGUCUGCAGAAGAGGCAAGAGGAUGGAGAGUGUCGGAAAAAGAGUGAUGGUGAUGACGUGCCUGAGAGCCCAGCCCCUGGAUGGACAGGCAGACCAAUGCCCCAGCCACUGAAACUGACCCUUGUGCAAUAGGAAGACUGGGCUGGAAAAGCAAAAGUCAUCAGGAGAAGUAGGUGCCAUGAGCUGAAGGAGGAGGCCACUUGGAUGACAACAACAGGGUACGAGCCAUCCAAGAUCAGAGGUUAAGUCCAUCCUUCUAUGACUAAGACUAGACCCACCGAAGGGAAUGCUGUCCCAGUCAAAAUCGAUAAUAAAGAAAAACCACCCCAUGGUGACAGAUGGUAACUAGACUUAUCAUGGUGGUCAUUUUGUAAUGCAUAGAAAUAUUGAAUCACUAUGUUGUACACCUGGAACUAACAUAGUGUUGUAGGUCAAUUAUACUUCGAUUAAAAAACAAUCAUGAUGGGCUUCCCUGGUGGCGCAGUGGUUGAGAGUCCGCCUGCCGAUGCAGGGGACACGGGUUCGUGCCCCGGUCCGGGAAGAUCCCACAUGCCGCGGAGCGGCUGGGCCCAUGAGCCAUGGCCGCUGAGCCUGCGCGUCCGGAGCCUGUGCUCCGCAACGGAAGAGGCCACAACAGUGAGAGGCCCGCGUACCGCAAAAAAAAACAAACAAACAAAAAAACAAUCAUGAUGAAAUGGAUGUGGAGGCAGGGAAGUGUGCCAAGUUCCCCUUAGCAGCAUCCUGCUCUCAAACAUAAUCAGAUAAAUUGUGGGAAGAAGUUAUGUUGAAGUCUCACCCAACUACAGUGUCUGUAUUCCAGACCCCAGGUCUAGCUCAAAUGCCAUUAGACAGGACAGAAAUCAUCUAAAGCGUAUACUGAAAUAUGAUGUUAUCUCUGAGAGUGGCAUUGUGGGUGAUUUUAUUUUCUGCCUUAUACACUUAUGUAUGAAUUACUUAUGUAAUAGAAAAUGGUAGUAAAAAAAGAAAAAAGAAAAACCACCCCAGAGAUAUGGCUCAUUUUAAAUCAGUUCCCUGAUUUCUUGAACCCUUACCAUGUGCCUGGCUCUGUCCUGGGUGCAGAGGACAUCAAGACUCAUAAAACAGUGUCCCUGCUCUCAGGGAAUGUUGACAUUAUUUGGGGAGGACUUAGAGGCAGAUUACUUCAGUACAAUGUGGGAUAUUUGGGUACAGAGACAUGUCAUCAUGAGGGCAGCAGUGCUUUUGCUGGAAGAGGAUGGUGGUGGUAAUAACGACUGCCAGCGCUGAUGGAGCUGCCUGCUCUGUGCGGGCAUCGUUCACGGCCCUUCACAUGCAUUAGCUGAUUGACCCUCACAGCCACUCGGUGAGGCUGGAACUAGCCUUUUCCCCAUUUUACAGGGGAGGAACUGAGGUUUGGGGAGGUAAAGAAACUAGACUAGGGUAACGCAGGAUUUUUUUUUUUUUUUUUUUUUUGCGGUACCCGGGCCUCUCACUGUCGUGGCCUCUCCCGUUGCGGAGCACAGGCUCCGGACGCGCAGGCUCAGCGGCCAUGGCUCAUGGGCCCAGCCGCUCCGCGGCAUGUGGGAUCUUCCCGGACCGGGGCACGAGCCCGCGUCCCCUGCAUCGGCAGGCGGACUCUCAACCACUGCGCCACCGGGGAAGCCCUGGUGAUGCAGGAUUUGAAUGCAGGCCAGCUGGCUCCUGAGCAGAAUCUGGAUAAAGAAUGAAUAGCAGAGGAAGCAGCACGAGCAAAGGCCUUAACGAGUGGUGUGGGCAGAAGGGGUAGAAGCAGCAAUUUCUGAAUCACCUGAACAUAAUGUUGGGCUAAGAGCGAGGGAGGACGAGGCUGAAGGGGAGGUGGUGGCCUUGACAACUGCCCCAGGGCUGUCUGGUCAGGUUGGUGCAAGGAGGUAGGGUCUCAAGAGUGAUUCCUUGUGGGUCCUGCCACCUCCUGCUGCUAUGGAGAUGCUCCACAAUAUUCGGUGACUGAAUGAAUGGGAAAACAACCACAGCCAAAUACUGGCUUAAUAUUCUGCUUUUCACAACGUACUCCUCUUAUAACUGAUCUCGUUUAAUCUUCAUGCUAAUCCUAUGAAACAGACAGUAUGUCCUCCAUUUUAUAGACAAGGAAACCAAAGCUCAGAAAGGCUAACUGAUUUUUCUCAAGGUCCAGCAGUUAGUAAGUGAUGGAGACAGGUCUUGAGCCUAUACCCACAUUCUGUAUGUUUCCUACCACAUGCCCCACUGCCGUCACUGAGGCGGGAUGGCCUGAGAACCUGGAAACUCAGUGGUUGACAUAGUUGAGCUAUCACUUCUCUGAAAUACAGAACGGGUGGGAGGUUUGGGUAUGAAGAACCCAUUUUUCUGAAGAAUUUUCCAGAACUUGACUCUCAGGAAGAAGAUCUGUCCAAACUGUUUAUAAUACACUUAGUAAACAUGAACAAGAAACAAUUAGCUAAUGAGCUAACACCAAUGUUAAUCAUCUGUGCCAAAGGAGGCGAGCACUGAUGAGGGAGAUAAAAAGUCACAGGAAACUGUCUUUUGGAUGGUGGGACCCAGGCCCUGCUCCCCAGCAAGGGGUCCCGGGCUGGCCUGCCUUCUGCAUAGCCUGAAUUCCAAACCUGCCUGGGGUUCCUGACCCUACCCACGCUGGGCGCUUGUUUAAAGGGACCCCUCCAGGUGAUCAGUGGUCUCAACACCCCCCCUCCACCUCCUGCCCGCAGUUAGUCUUGCUCGGUUUCUUCUCUUCCACAGAACUUUUGCCUUGGAUUCACUUCUGGUUCUCUGCCUAAUCUCUGCCCAUUAGUCUUCAUGCUUCAAACUUCCUUAGCCCGUUCUUGUCAUCCAGGAUGCAGACCUGGCUUGUCCUUUAUUCCAUACUCCUCAGUUACAAGCCAGCCUUGCCCACCCAGAACUCCAGUCCUGACCCUUGAGAGCCCUAGGUGUGAGCCCCACAAAGUGAAUUUUGUGUACAUAGCACACUUUUUAUCUUAGGUCCAACCACCCCAAAUAUAGUCUCUUAAAUUUGGUGACAUCUGUGCAGUUCUUUUUGUGUGGUACGGUAAAAGAGGCUCUCAGAAAUGUUAUUCUAAUCUACAUUUUUGAUGAAUGAAGUAAUAAGGAACUUGUUUAAUCCUCCCAACAAUGUCCAUUUUACAGAGGAGCACACUGCAUCUCAGAGACCUUCUAACUUGCCACUAAGUGGUCAGGCCAGAAUUAAACCUGGGCCUACCUGAGCCCCAAACCUACACUCUUUCAAAUCCACUUGGAACUUCAGCAGUAGUUAAGGAUAUGUAAAGAAACAAAUAGAUUGGGGCAGCUACUCCUUAAAGGAGCCUCGCAGAGAAGCAUUUUGGAACAGAAAAAUCUUUAUGUAACAUAAAUAAGCACCCAUUAGUUUUCUGGUUUUAUAAGUUUCUCUAAAUAUAUAUACAUAUAUAUAUGUAUAUAUAUGUGUGUGUGUAUAUAUAUAUAUCUCCAGUUCCUUAAAGUGGGGCAUGUCAGUUUGUGAGAAAUAACCCAGAAAAGUGGCCAAGUUGUGUCUCAAGUCUAGUUGUGAAUGGUGGUCGUGAACAGCAGGAAAAAUAGGCAGCUGGUAGUAAAUUCUAAUUUUCAAGCAGCUACUCUAAGUCCCUGCCCUUCCCACUACUUUUACCAAGAAAAAAAGGGGUCUUACAGAGACCUGUG